CCUACGGGGGGCUGCAGUGGGGGAUAUUGCACAAUGGGGGGAACCCUGAUGCAGCGACGCCGCGUGGGUGAAGGAGUAUUUCGGUAUGUAAAGCCCUAUCGGCAGGGAAGAAAUUGGACGGUACCUGACUAAGAAGCCCCGGCUAACUACGUGCCAGCAGCCGCGGUAAUACGUAGGGGGCAAGCGUUAUCCGGAUUCACUGGGUGUAAAGGGAGCGUAGACGGCCAUGCAAGCCAGGGGUGAAAGCCCGGGGCCCAACCCCGGGACUGCCCUUGGAACUGCAUGGCUGGAGUGCGGGAGGGGCAGGCGGAAUUCCUGGUGUAGCGGUGAAAUGCGUAGAUAUCAGGAGGAACACCGGCGGCGAAGGCGGCCUGCUGGACCGCGACUGACGUUGAGGCUCGAAAGCGUGGGGAGCGAACAGGAUUAGAUACCCGGGUAGUC
rnacentral:rRNA from 1 species